AAUAAUAAAAGACAUCUAGGAGUAUCAGAGCAUAAUAAAUGUCUAAAUGCUACAACAAGGGAUAAGGAUAAAACUGUAAAUCCACUAAAUAAAACAUAAAGUGAUACAAGAAAAUCCCAGAUACAAGUGCUAUAGGUAGAUACAUAGGUGGUCUCUAUACAUGGAUACAAAAACCUCUCACUCUCUCAACUACAAAAGAAAGAGUAAACCACCUAGGUNGCCAAACACUCCAAUCAACUCUAACUUUUUAGAGUUAUCAUAAUACCCAAUCAUGAUACUUUCGCUCACAAGUCGAAUAGACCUCGUCUCUCACGAGCCUAUUUCCUAUAGUCCAACCGGCCUAAGGUCUGCUAGAUCCACUAAGACUCAACCCUAGGCUCUGAUACCAAAUUAAUCUGUCACGCCCCGGGACCAAGCGGAAGCCCGCCCGGCGCGUGCCCAGACCCGCCAUACGUCUAAAACGUACAAGGCGUCUAAAAACAACAAUAAACAAAGCAAUAAAAAAAAAAAAGACAUCUAGGAGUAUCAGAGCAUAAUAAAUGCCUAAAUGCUACAACCAGGGAUAAGGAUAAAACUGUAAUUCCACUAAAUAAAACAUAAAGUGAUACAAGGAAAACCCAGAUACAAGUGCUAUAGGUAGAUACAUAGGUGGUCUCUAUACCUGGAUACAAAAACCUCUCACUCUCUCAACUACAAAAGAAAGAGUAAACUACCUAGGCAAAGUACCGCUCCUCGCUAGCUAGCUAAGCGAUCCCCUUGCCGCGAUCCCGUGCCUCCGCCGGUGCCGAAGGCUCUGAAAAGUAAACCAUAAAACAGGGGCGUGAGAACUAUUAAAAAUAGUUCCCAGUGGGCAAUUACUGACUUCAGUGAAUGCACCACGAGGCCCAAAGCUACAAAAGAUGUCAGUGACUAUAAAAGUAGAAAAGCGAAAGGUAAGUAAA
rnacentral:lncRNA from 1 species